GGGACGGGACGGGGGUGCCGGGCGGAGCCGGGCCGGACUGGGCUCGGGUGGGCAAGCCCUCCGUCCGCCGCGGCGGGAGCCCGGUGGGAGGAGGAGGACGGAGCUGGGUUGACGCCCGCCCGGCCGGACCCCGGCGGCUCAGGGGGGCCUGAAGCCCCGCUGGUGCUGCGGAACGGGGCGGUCCGGCCGGGGCGGCGGUGGGCCCGACAGCGGGGUCCUGCCCGGGCAGCCUCCCGGGCGGUGGGCGCGGGGCUGAGGGGCCGGGGGAGCUGCGCGGCGCGCCCGGCUGCGGGGCUGGGCUGGGUGUUCAGCCAGCGCCCCGCUCGCGGAGACUUCGGAAACUUCGCCUGUGGAGCUGGUGCCCGUAAUUCCUUCAGUUUGCUGCAUGUGUUUGCCACGGCUCUCAGCGCUGGGUCCCCGCGGUCGGUGACGGAGGGAUGCCUUUCCGGGGCGGGGUGCGCUCCGUGCCCCGGGCCCGGCGGCUCCGGAGCCUCCCGUUCGCCCCGGCACAGGGCUUGUCCCGGGAGCUGCGCACGGAGCUUGGGGUGCUGCUCUGAGAGCCUGGCGCUCUGCGGGCUUGUAAGUUUUGCCACUUUUCUGCAAUGGAUGAAAGAUAACUGAAUGUGUCAAUAAACAUUCAGGUAGCUUGCAUCUGAAGUUUCUUUUUGACUAAGACACCAGCAGGCAAUUCCUCCAGGAGCAGACACUGUAUAUUAAUGGGCAGCAGGUUUCUAUCGAAGAACAUCCAGUUUUUCAUAGAUCUGGAUAAGAUUUGAGACUUGGUUUUGAAGUGCUUGAGGAACUUGCUACUGCCCAAGUCAUGACGCUCCCAUUUCGAAAGGACUUGGACAAGUACAAAGAUCUCGAUGAGGAUGAAAUUCUUGGCAAACUUUCGGAAGAAGAACUGAAGCAACUGGAAACUGUUUUGGAUGAUCUUGACCCCGAGAACGCGCUGCUGCCUGCAGGCUUCCGGCAGAAAGACCAGACUGCCAAGAAGGCCUCGGGUCCCUUCGACAGGGAACGGCUCCUGGCCUACUUGGAGAAGCAGGCGCUGGAGUACAAGGACAGGGAAGACUAUGUGCCUUUUACAAGAGAAAAGAAAGGGAAAAUAUUUAUCCCCAAGCAAAAGCCUGUACAAUCUUUCACAGAAGAAAAAUUCUCUCUUGAUCCAGAACUGGAGGAAGCCUUGACCAGUGCCACAGACACAGAACUGGGUGACCUCGCAGCAAUACUGGGAAUGUCCAACUUGAUAACAAACAAUCAGUUCUGUGAUGUAGUAGGAAGCAGUAAUGGGAUUGACAAAGACAGCUUCUCAAAUAUAGUAAAAGGUGAAAAAAUGUUGCCUGUUUUUGAUGAACCACCAAAUCCCACAAACGUGGAGGAGACACUGCAAAGAAUUAAAGAUAAUGAUUCUCGUCUUGUUGAAGUUAAUCUAAAUAACAUUAAGAACAUACCAAUUCCAACGCUGAAAGAAUUUGCAAAAGCCUUAGAAACCAACACACAUGUGAAGAAUUUCAGCCUGGCAGCCACCCGAAGCAAUGAUCCUGUUGCUGUUGCUCUUGCAGAUAUGCUGAGAGUAAACACAAAAUUAAAAAGUUUGAACAUAGAAUCAAACUUCAUCACUGGAGUUGGAGUUAUGGCAUUGGUUGAUGCGCUGAAAGACAAUGAAACGUUGACAGAGAUCAAAAUUGAUAAUCAGAGGCAGCAGCUGGGCACAGCUGCAGAAGUAGAAAUUGCCAAGAUGCUUGAAGAAAACAACAAGAUCCUCAAAUUUGGAUACCAUUUCACACAACAGGGACCUCGAGCCAGGGCAGCUGCAGCUAUCACAAAAAACAAUGAUUUGGUCUGGAGUAUGGGAGUAAAAGUUUCUGCAAAUACCUUUUCAUCUCUCCAGCCCUGAAUCUACAGAGAAGGUUACUCUGAAUACCCACUUGGGUAUUGAGCCCUGAAACCGAGAUGUUUGAAGUCUCUAAUUUCUCCCUUUUUCGGAAGAGAAGGGUUGAAGGAGACAAUUAGCGACGCCGAUGGCAGAACCGCGGAGUCAGCACGGGCAGCACCGUGGGCUUCGGCUCUCUUGGACUACAUUGACCUGGGUUAGAAGGGAAAAGACUGGAAACCCCAUUCCUUUUGAAGCAAAGCAAUAGAAUCCUCUGCUGGUGUGCAGCACGGUUUUGGGAUGGAUGGAGACACAGUAACUGUGCCAGUCUCUGUACCAUAGGUUUUGAUUGGGUUUUUUUUAAGAACUUUUUUUUUUUUAUUUCAAGACUUUGGCUGUGCUUUCUACUAAAAAUGUAAUUGCAAAUCAAUGGUAUAAUUGUCUGUAGUAGAAGAAUGGGACUUUUAAGAUGAUUGGGCAGAUGCUGGCCCAACUGAAAUGUUUGUAAGAAAAUCUGUGUAUUUACCAGGAGGAGUGUGUAUAUUCCUGACAACAAUUGCUAGAGAAAAGGGAUUCUUCACCCAGCAGCUGCACUCGUGUACAGCUGCUCAGCUUUGCUCAUCUGCACUGAAGAGAAAUCUUUCACAGCAAUGUUAUUUGUAAUUCUACUGGUUUAUUUUUUAUUUGUUCUUGAUACUGUAAUCAAGUUCAAAGGUAUCCUUUUAAGCCAAACAAAAAUAAAUUGGCUAAGGACUUCUCCCAAGCAAUUAGAGGGACUAAUAUAAGAAUGGAAGCCUUGGAAAACAAGGAAAAAAUUUGGGAGCCUUACAAAAUGACAGGUCUUCUGUUACACCUAAAUCCUGAAAGUCUUUUUCAAAAGGUCCCAGAACUGUGUCUUGCUUUGUAUCUAAACUGGAUACACAUCUAGACUAAUUUCAUGUGUUCAUCAGCAUUAUUUAGUUUAUAUUCUUUGUUUAAAAAUUGUUAUCUACAUUCAUAAGUAUCAAUUUCUCUAGAAGUAGUGGACAUUCAUAUUUAAAAUUUUGCAUAACUAUACAGGAAAAGCAGCCUUAACUGUAAAACCACUGGCCUAAGUUGCAUUACAUUAAGCUAUUUGUACUUCAUACAAAUCUAACAGUUUUCAAUAAUGAAGUAACACUUUUAAGAAAGGAUUUUUCCAUUCUCUAUCUGUCUUGAUGUUGAAACACUACCUAAGAACCAAACCAAUGUCGUGUCAGAUCUCUAGGGCAUAGUCCAAGUGUUUAAAGUUCUAUAAGCAAGCUAAUAAGGCAACAAGAAUCACUUCAACUUCUGCACAUAAUCGCAGUACACUUUGAAAUAUGAAAAUCUAGCAGCUCUUCGGUGUAGGUCUGUUUGGACUGUCUUGUACUAGUUUGCUUUGAGAUCACAGAAGUGUUCUACAGGACUGCUUGGCUGUAUUUAGAGCAACAGAGAAUUCAACUGACAACUGUUUUCAUCCAAAGAUCAUAAUGUGAUGAGCAUUUAUGUGUAGAAAACAUACUGGACUGAGAAUUUUGGAUCAGGUUGUAUAUGCUAUAAAAACAGAGCCAGUCUCUGACACUGUGCCCAUGUUGUAAUUUGCUGCAAGUCUUGGUUUGGAUCUUUAAAGACAGCCUUUAUUCUGGAAGUGGCUUCAAAUUUCCCUGCAACUGUACAGAGAAUUUUCAACUGUAGUGCCUUCAGUGGGGAUGUAUAUAACUGGUUUAUAUUCGUGGAAGAACCUUUUUCCCCCUACUUCUAGAUCGGCGUUUUAUUAGAAUUACAAAUAAAUGUGUGCUCCGAAAACCAAGUUGGAAUGAAUUCAGUUAAAACCAAAGACUACACUUACUGUAACCUCACAACACCAGAAGUGUUCUAAUGAGUAACAAAAAGGGCUUCUUUUGGUUUGGGCUUUUGUAAAUUUUCAAGAAAUUUUUAGAUUUUGAAAUAAACUUUGAAAUAGUUCUCAUACAAUAUGCAUACAGUCAGAAGUUCAGUGUAUUUUUAUAGACAGACACUGCUGUACAAACAUGGCCAAAGCAUGUCAUGUGCUGAGUUGCCUAAAGCUGUACGUUACUUUUGAUUUGCUAGGCACCAUAAUCAUUUUGUGUCAAAAAGCAGGCUGUAAGGUCUUCCUUCAAUUGUUGAAGGGCUGUGUGUUCACAAAUCUGUUCAUGUAUUGGGAUUCUGUGAUGAAUUGUUUUAUCACUACCUAAAAAGAUUAGGCAGUUAUCUCCUACUUGAAAAUGAAGGAGGAAAUUGAAAGGCUGGAUGAUGGAAAUAAUAGCCCAAAUCCCUUUCUUGCUUUUACUUAAUCAAGUUUGGCUGUUUAAUUUUUUAUAUUCCAAUCGUUUCUGCUCUCAGGUGUCCUGUCACAAAUGAUAGUUAAAUGGUUUAACUCUGUCGAUAACAGCUAAAAAUUUGACUACUUGUGACUUUCAGGACAGAUACCUGGCAGGCUGGGCAUGGAAAACAAUUUUUUUCAAUCAGAAGGGUUUAAUCAUCCAAAUUGUUGCAAGCCUUUUGGUGUGGUGCAUGGAAGAGUUAACAGCAAUCACUUUUGUGCCUGCAGUGUGUAUCCUUUUUGGAAUAAAUGAAGAAAUUCAAUCUGUAGCCAGGAUUUUUCAGCAGUCUCAGCAAACAAAGUGAACACUGAUGUAAUGCCAUCGAGUGGGGUGAGAUCCUGCCUAUGAUUUCACCGAUUGUGAUUGCAGGAGUGGUGUUACUGUGAUAGCCAGUUACAUUAACACAAGGUCUUUUUCUGAAAGAGAUACUGUUUUCUUACUGAUUAUUUUCCCGGCUUAAUGCAGAAAUCAAAUGACUGCAUAUGUUGAUUGUGUUGGUUCCAAGCUAAGCAUGGAAACAUAACCAAUAUUUCAGAGCAAUUACCUAUUUACUCUUGUAUUUUAAAGAAAUAACCUCACUCUCUCUGUAACUUGAGUAAUCCUGCGUUUGUAAGCUACAAACGAGCAACUGUUCGAUUUAAAUUUCCAUUGGGGAAGCAGGUAUUGAGUAUUUUAGUAUAUCAGCACUAUAUGCUGGGUCAGAUUGUAAAACAGCUACUAAUCUUUGGAUGAUUAAAGUACUGUAUUCUUGUGGCU